rnacentral:misc_RNA from 1 species
AAGUCGUAACAAGGUUUCCGUAGGUGAACCUGCGGAAGGAUCAUUAAUGAAUGUUGAACUGGGUUGUAGCUGGUCUUUAGAGACAUGUGCACACCCUUCAAUUUCAUCCAUCCCUGUGCACUUCUGUAGAUGGUGUUUCAAUGCCAUCUAUGAUUUUACACACACUUAUAAACCAUGAAUGUGAACUAGAUCCUUAGGAUCAAUACUUGUACAACUUUUAGCAAUGGAUCUCUUGGCUCUC